rnacentral:rRNA from 1 species
AAAGGGGCUUCGGCCCUGAGUAGAGUGGCGAACGGGUGAGUAACACGUGGGUGAUCUACCUCUGAGUGGGGGAUAACCUUCCGAAAGGAGGGCUAAUACCGCAUGACGUUCUGGGUUUGAAGACCUGGAAACCAAAAUCGGGGACCGCAAGGCCUGAUGCUUGGAGAGGAGCCCGCGCCUGAUUAGCUAGUUGGCGGGGUAACGGCCCACCAAGGCGACGAUCAGUAGCCGGCCUGAGAGGGCGGACGGCCACACUGGGACUGAGACACGGCCCAGACUCCUACGGGAGGCAGCAGUGGGGAAUUGUUCGCAAUGGGCGCAAGCCUGACGACGCAACGCCGCGUGGAGGAUGAAGGCCUUCGGGUCGUAAACUCCUGUUGAUCGGGAAGAAUAGGCUCCGGGUGAAUACCCCGGGGCAAUGACGGUACCGAUUGAGGAAGCCACGGCUAACUCUGUGCCAGCAGCCGCGGUAAUACAGAGAUGGCAAGCGUUGUUCGGAAUUACUGGGCGUAAAGGGCGUGUAGGCGGCCUUGUCAGUCAGACGUGAAAUCCCCAGGCUUAACCUGGGAACUGCGUCUGAUACUACAAGGCUGGAGUUCGGGAGAGGAAUGUGGAAUUCCAGGUGUAGCGGUGAAAUGCGUAGAUAUCUGGAGGAACACCGGUGGCGAAGGCGGCAUUCUGGACCGAAACUGACGCUGAGGCGCGAAAGCCAGGGGAGCAAACGGGAUUAGAUACCCCGGUAGUCCUGGCCCUAAACGAUGAGUGCUUGGUGUGGCGGGUAUCGAUCCCUG